rnacentral:rRNA from 1 species
GAGUUUGAUCCUGGCUCAGAGCGAACGCUGGCGGCGUGCUUAACACAUGCAAGUCGAGUGCGCGUCUGUAGCAAUACAGAUGGCGCACGGCGCACGGGUGCGUAACACGUGGGUAAUCUGCCCUUCGAUGGGGAAUAACCUCGCGAAAGCGAGGCUAAUUCCGCAUAACAUUCCGAUGAUCUUGGUCAAUGGAUUCAAAGCCGUAAGGCGUUCGGAGAGGGGGUUGCGGACUAUUAGCUUGUUGGUGGGGUAACGGCCUACCAAGGCAAUGAUGGUUAGCGGGUCUGAGAGGAUGAUCCGUCACACUGGGACUGAGACACUGCCCAGACUCCUACGGGAGGCUGCAGUCGAGAAUCUUCCGCAAUGGGCGAAAGCCUGACGGAGCGACACCGCGUGCAGGAUGAAGGCCUUCGGGUUGUAAACUGCUGUCACGCUAUAGGAACCGUGCUUGCAAUAGCACUGCGAUUGACCAAAGCGAGAGGAAGCACCGGCUAACUCCGUGCCAGCAGCCGCGGUAAUACGGAGGGUGCAAACGUUGUUCGGAAUCACUGGGCAUAAAGAGCAUGUAGGCGGCCUGUUAAGUCAGGUGUGAAAUCCCCCGGCUCAACCGGGGAACUGCAUUUGAAACUGGCAGGCUCGAGGAUGGUUGGGGUGAGUGGAACUUCAGGUGGAGCGGUGAAAUGCGUAGAUAUCUGAAGGAACACCGGUGGCGAAAGCGGCUCACUGGACCAUUCCUGACGCUGAGAUGCGAAAGCUAGGGUAGCGAACGGGAUUAGAUACCCCGGUAGUCCUAGCCGUAAACGAUGGGCACUAGGUAGGGGAUAUGCCUAUGGUAUUCCCUGCCGUAGCAAAUGUGUUAAGUGCCCCGCCUGGGGAGUACGCUCGCAAGGGUAAAACUCAAAGGAAUUGACGGGGGCUCACACAAGCGGUGGAGCAUGUGGUUUAAUUCGAAGCAACGCGAAGAACCUUACCCGGCCUUGACAUGCACGGAUUAGCCUUAUGAAAGUAGGGUAACAGCUCUUCGGAGUCGGAACGUGCACAGGUGUUGCAUGGCUGUCGUCAGCUCGUGUCGUGAGAUGUUGGGUUAAGUCCCGUAACGAGCGAAACCCUUAUCCCUAGUUGCCAGCACGUAAUGGUGGGGACUCUAGUGAUACUGCCGUUGUCAAAACGGAGGAAGGUGGGGACGACGUCAAGUCAUCAUGGCCCUUAUGGCCGGGGCGACACACGUGCUACAAUGGUCUAUACAGAGGGUUCCAAGACCGCGAGGUGGAGGCAAUCCCUAAAGUAGGCCCCAGUUCGGAUUGCAGGCUGAAAUUCGCCUGCAUGAAGCCGGAAUCGCUAGCAAUCGCGUAUCAGCCAUGACGCGGUGAAUAUGUUCCUGAGCCUUGUACACAC